rnacentral:rRNA from 1 species
CGUAUGUAACCUACCCUUAUCAGGGGGAUAGCCUCUCGAAAGAGAGAUUAAGCCCGCAUAACAUGAAGACACAGCAUCGUGAUUUCAUCAAAUAUUUAUAGGAUAAGGAUGGGCAUGCGGAACAUUAGCUAGUUGGUAAGGUAAUGGCUUACCGAGGCUACGAUGUUUAGGGGAUCUGAGAGGAUGGCCCCCCACACUGGUACUGAGACACGGCCCAG